GUUGUUUACCACUGGCUAUAUAAGCAACAGAUUUUCUUCAGUGGACGUCUCCUGCCUGAAGAGAGGAGGACUCCAUGUCACUCCGUGAGACAAGCCCCUAAUUGACUGCUGUGCUGUGUGAGCCUGAACCAGCGGUGGCCACCUGUCUGUCUCUGUCUUCAUCGUUCGUCUUUCAGUGUGCAUCGCCGGGUGGCCUUUGCUGGAGCCUUGGACCCACUAGGAAUAGGAUCAGGCAUGAUACCAUCAUCGAGGGAUUUCUCUAUACAGCUGUUUCUCAGCCAUAAGACAAGUUGGGAUGCAACAUCCCAAAACAAUUCUCUGCCACAUCCUGGGAAGCUCAGUUACUGUGGAUACUACCUGGCGAGCAGGGCUUUGUGGAGAAACGGAAAUGUUAUCUAAAUACAUGAUGGCUCCGCUAAAUGCAUUUCCAAGAUGCCCUGCAGCCAGCCUGGCCAUGAGGGAAACUAGGUGGAAAACACGUGCACUUCCUCCAUUUCUGCAAGCUGGAGCAUGGGUGUGUAGGAAGCCACCUCUGGCUUCAAACACAGAAGAAAGCCGUACAGCUAGCAGAAAAGUGGGAAGGAGGGAGCUCUGGCCCCGUCUGGCUGCCAUGGAUGCCUACCUUGUAUUACAGGAGAGAUAAUAAACUCUUAUGUAUUUAAGCCCCUUGAA